AAACGUGACUUGUCGCUUCUUGGUGUUUGUAGUGUCUGCAUGACACUUGUCUACUAUUAGGAUGAUGAAAAAACCCUCUCUCUAUGAGCAACGGAGUGGUAUCCAGCUGUCCAACUCGAUAAUGAACAUACAGAAUCGAUCAAGAUACUCCAUUGGAAACUAAUGGCAGUAUUUAAAAAAAAGAAACCAUUCAGGCGUAGUGAUGAUUAUGAGGACAAUGGGAACACAUCAUGUGAAAAAAAAGACAACAACCUAACUGUGGAGGAAAGAGAUUUCAAAGAGCCGGGAUCCCAUGAAGAGGGUAAAGUUCAUACAUCCCUCCUGCCUGAUGAAGGGUCUUCCAUUUGUGCAGAAGAAACCAAAGAAGGAAAAUGACUCAAUUUGUGACUUAGGUUCGUGGGACAGGGUUGCAUGGCGAAUUUCUCCACUUCAGAAGAGUGCUCCUACAUCAUCAUUCAGCUAUCUUAAGGUGACCAUAGAGGCCUCUGGCUUUCAUCCCUGCAUCCCAAAGCUCCAGAGUAUUCUUUGGGAAUAGAGAGGUAUAUACAAAGGUAGCAUCGUCUGA